GCGGGGUGCUUUUUACUCAUUUGGCCGCCUGGUGAGUGUCGGGGAGAUUGGCAAACGCCUGGGAGAGGAAAGAGAAACAGAGAGCCCUCAAAGAGUGGAGAAAGUGACCCGGAAGCCGGUUCACUGCCUGCAGCUCUUUAUCUGCCUGGGUUAGAGCUUUUUAUCGGCGGUUCAGCUUUCCAGUACUUUCCAGCUGAGGGGACUGCUAGACCGACGGUCGAUCCCACAUCCCUCAGUGCGCGCGCCUCCCGACUCCUCCUCAAGACCCUCCUCAGCUCCUCAACCUCGAGGGCGAAAAGCUCUGGCCACGAGGAGUUCCUGCCCAAGAAUUAUGAAGCAAAAUGGACUAUAUCCUUGGGUAUCUUAAGAAACUCUCCAGUUUGGCAGAGGAAGAAUUGUGCUUCUUUAAAGGGUAUCAUGGCCUCCCAGGUGGCACUAGAAGUAAAGAACUCACUUGCCAAUGCAGGAGACAUAAGAGACGUGGGUUCAGUUCCUGAUUCUGGAAGAUCCCCUGGUGGAGGGCAGAGCAACCCACUUCAGUAUGCUUGCCUGGAGGAUCCCGUGGACAGAAGAGCCUGGAGGGCUACAGUCCAUGGGGUCGCAGAGUCAGACAUGACUGAGGUGACUUAUAACGCACACACAAAGUAUCAUAUUCUGAAGUGUAUGCUUAUUUAGCACAUUUUAAAAAUUGAGCUAUCUUUUGCACUCACAUUUAUUUGUAAGGAAUUCAGUUUAGAUUCUGGGUUCCAGUCUCAUGUCUGUUAUAAAUGAUGUUAGUAUCUUCUCUACUGUGUGGUUUGUCUUUUCAUUUUCUGGUGGUGUUUUUCGAUUAAUAGAAGUUUUAAAUUUCACUGUAGCCCAAUUCAGCAAUGUAUCCUUCAUGAUCUUUGCCUAUUCUAAAUUUGUGAUGAAAUGUUCCAAUGAUUUCCUCUAAAACAGUAGUGUUUUGCUCUCUAAAUUUAUAUUUGUGUGCCUGAAUUCACAGAUGCUUCAGUCAUGUCCAACUCUUUGAGACCCUAUGGAAUGUAGCCCACCAGGCUCCUCUGUCCAUGGAAUUUUUCAGUCAAGAACACUGACUUGCCAUGUUUCCCUACCCAGGGAUUGAAGCCUCAUCUCCUACAUUGUAGGCAGAUUCUUUACCCACUGAGCCACCUGGGAAGCCCAAAUUUAUAUUUACAGGUUGAUAAUUGUGUAUGGUGUGAUUCACUUUGUUUCAUGUGGUUAUUCAAGUACCAUUUGCCAGGAAAGACACUCCUUUAUCCAUUACUCUGAAGUGCCAAAAUUAUUAAAAACCAAGUGAUUACAUAUGUGUGGGUCUGUUUGGGGGCUUGUAUCUUUGAUUUAAUAGUGUAACUAACCUUGGACCAAUGCCACAUGUCAUUUUAUGAACUUUAUAUCAAGGGUAAAUCCUCCACUUUAUUCUCCUUCCU
rnacentral:lncRNA from 1 species